rnacentral:tRNA from 1 species
GGGGUUGUAGCUCAGUGGUAGAGCACUCACUUAGUAUGUGUGAAGCAUUGGGUUCAAUCCUCAUCACUA